CUGGUUACGUUUUUUACAUCUGACUGCAAUGGGCACCGUUGUCCUUAAAUGGAGGUACUAACCAACUCAGAGAUGGAUAUGCUGAAUCACCCAAAUACAGUGAGGACCUCCUUAACAACCGAGCAUCAUGCAGAGAUCCCGGCUCUCCACAAUACACGUCAAUAAAUUGCCUGAAGCUAUUGACAGUUCCUUGUAUUAGCAAACUAAA